GACGAACGCUGGCGGCGUGCUUAACACACGCAAGUCGAACGGUAAGGCCCUUCGGGGUACACGAGUGGCGAACGGGUGAGUAACACGUGGGUGAUCUGCCCUGCACUUCGGGAUAAGCCUGGGAAACUGGGUCUAAUACCGGAUAGGACCACGGCCUGCAUGGGUGGUGGUGGAAAGCUUUUGCGGUGUGGGAUGGGCCCGCGGCCUAUCAGCUUGUUGGUGGGGUGAUGGCCUACCAAGGCGACGACGGGUAGCCGGCCUGAGAGGGUGACCGGCCACACUGGGACUGAGAUACGGCCCAGACUCCUACGGGAGGCAGCAGUGGGGAAUAUUGCACAAUGGGCGCAAGCCUGAUGCAGCGACGCCGCGUGAGGGAUGACGGCCUUCGGGUUGUAAACCUCUUUCAGCACCGACGAAGCGCAAGUGACGGUAGGUGCAGAAGAAGGACCGGCCAACUACGUGCCAGCCGCCGCAGUAA
rnacentral:rRNA from 1 species